ACCAGCUCUUCAAGUGGUCGGGAAUUUUAUUGGGCUUAAAGUGUCCGUAGCCGGUUUGGAAAGUUCCUGGUUAAAUCUGGUAGCUUAACUAUCAGUCAGCUAGGAAUACUACCUUACUAGAGGGUGGGAAAGGUUUGGGGUACUUCAGGGGUAGCGGUGAAAUGCGAUAAUCCUUGGGGGACCACCAGUGGCGAAGGCGCCAGACUGGAACACGCCUGACGGUGAGGGACGAAAGCCAGGGGAGCGAACGGGAUUAGAUACCCCGGUAGUCCUGGCCGUAAACGAUGCGUGCUAGGUGUUGGUAGGGCUAUGAGCUGUAUCAGUGCCGUAGGGAAACUGUUAAGCGCGCCGCCUGGGAAGUACGCUCGCAAGAGUGAAACUUAAAGGAAUUGGCGGGGGAGCGACCACAAGGGGUGAAGCCUGCGGUUC
rnacentral:rRNA from 1 species